rnacentral:rRNA from 3 species
GCUGGCGGCGUGCCUAAUACAUGCAAGUCGAACGAACUCUGGUAUUGAUUGGUGCUUGCAUCAUGAUUUACAUUUGAGUGAGUGGCGAACUGGUGAGUAACACGUGGGAAACCUGCCCAGAAGCGGGGGAUAACACCUGGAAACAGAUGCUAAUACCGCAUAACAACUUGGACCGCAUGGUCCGAGUUUGAAAGAUGGCUUCGGCUAUCACUUUUGGAUGGUCCCGCGGCGUAUUAGCUAGAUGGUGGGGUAACGGCUCACCAUGGCAAUGAUACGUAGCCGACCUGAGAGGGUAAUCGGCCACAUUGGGACUGAGACACGGCCCAAACUCCUACGGGAGGCAGCAGUAGGGAAUCUUCCACAAUGGACGAAAGUCUGAUGGAGCAACGCCGCGUGAGUGAAGAAGGGUUUCGGCUCGUAAAACUCUGUUGUUAAAGAAGAACAUAUCUGAGAGUAACUGUUCAGGUAUUGACGGUAUUUAACCAGAAAGCCACGGCUAACUACGUGCCAGCAGCCGCGGUAAUACGUAGGUGGCAAGCGUUGUCCGGAUUUAUUGGGCGUAAAGCGAGCGCAGGCGGUUUUUUAAGUCUGAUGUGAAAGCCUUCGGCUCAACCGAAGAAGUGCAUCGGAAACUGGGAAACUUGAGUGCAGAAGAGGACAGUGGAACUCCAUGUGUAGCGGUGAAAUGCGUAGAUAUAUGGAAGAACACCAGUGGCGAAGGCGGCUGUCUGGUCUGUAACUGACGCUGAGGCUCGAAAGUAUGGGUAGCAAACAGGAUUAGAUACCCUGGUAGUCCAUACCGUAAACGAUGAAUGCUAAGUGUUGGAGGGUUUCCGCCCUUCAGUGCUGCAGCUAACGCAUUAAGCAUUCCGCCUGGGGAGUACGGCCGCAAGGCUGAAACUCAAAGGAAUUGACGGGGGCCCGCACAAGCGGUGGAGCAUGUGGUUUAAUUCGAAGCUACGCGAAGAACCUUACCAGGUCUUGACAUACUAUGCAAAUCUAAGAGAUUAGACGUUCCCUUCGGGGACAUGGAUACAGGUGGUGCAUGGUUGUCGUCAGCUCGUGUCGUGAGAUGUUGGGUUAAGUCCCGCAACGAGCGCAACCCUUAUUAUCAGUUGCCAGCAUUAAGUUGGGCACUCUGGUGAGACUGCCGGUGACAAACCGGAGGAAGGUGGGGAUGACGUCAAAUCAUCAUGCCCCUUAUGACCUGGGCUACACACGUGCUACAAUGGAUGGUACAACGAGUUGCGAACUCGCGAGAGUAAGCUAAUCUCUUAAAGCCAUUCUCAGUUCGGAUUGUAGGCUGCAACUCGCCUACAUGAAGUCGGAAUCGCUAGUAAUCGCGGAUCAGCAUGCCGCGGUGAAUACGUUCCCGGGCCUUGUACACACCGCCCGUCACACCAUGAGAGUUUGUAACACCCAAAGUCGGUGGGGUAACCUUUUAGGAACCAGCCGCCUAAGGUGGGACAGAUG